rnacentral:lncRNA from 10 species
CUCUGCCUAGCAGGUAAAGAUUAUUACUACAAGCAGGGGGUGUGGGAAGGUGCAUACUGAGCAGACUGUGUUCCAAGCGCUUGCCAAGCAGUUCUUGAGGGUUUUUUUAAUGUCUGUGUUCGCAGGUGCUGAGCUGAGGCCCUGAAGGAACAGAAGGCCUCUCUCUACACACCCCAGGAAACAGGCCAGAUGUUCAGGGAGAAAUAGCAAUGGGCUUUCAGGGACUGGAGCCAAGAGAGCUGAUUUUGUUGUAGUGUCUGUUCCUGCUGUCCUCCAGCCCCAGCCAUGGGGCAAUGAUAAAGAGGGCUGUACCAAGGAUGCAACCCCGCCUCCGAUGAUUCUAGAGUUUCAAAAGAAAUCAGGCUGCAGACUCAACAGGAAUCAGUGUACCCAGUAUAUGCAAAACCCUCGGCUCUUGGCUCGACCUGCAAGUGUAGCUGGGGCUAGGGUGAGGUCUCCUCCUCCUCCCUGGCUCACCCACCUAGUUCGUCUACAUUCCCAGCCUGCCUUGCAGCUGGGCAUGGUCAAGUGACUGAGCUCUGCCCAAGAGAAUAGGAUGCGUGUUAGAACCGCAACAACUCCUGCAUGGGGUCCUCCCUGUUCUCUACCUGCUCGGGUGGAGGGAAUGAGGCAACGCUUCAGGACAACAUUGGAAAAAUACAGUGAAGAUGACAAAGCCCACUUACAAGCGCACUCCCCCAGCCCUGCGCCUGCCUCACUAACCUCUUACACAGGAAAACAGAAGCAGUUAUUGUGUUCAAGCCAUUGUCUAUUUUGUGGUCUAUUUGCUUGUUUUUUUGUUUGUUUGUUUUUAAGAUGGAGUCUCACUCCGUCGCCCAGG